CCUCCCGGGAGAGCCAUAGUGGUCUGCGGAACCGGUGAGUACACCGGAAUUGCCAGGACGACCGGGUCCUUUCUUGGAUCAACCCGCUCAAUGCCUGGAGAUUUGGGCGUGCCCCCGCAAGACUGCUAGCCGAGUAGUGUGGGGUCGCGAAAGGCCUGGUGGUACUACCUGAUAGGGUGCUGGCGAGUGCC
rnacentral:other from 12 species